ensembl:snoRNA
CCCCAAAGUGUUGAGUUCAGGUCAGGGCUGCUGCCCCUGUUCUGGUAAUUAAACUUUGGGACAGUGAGUGACUGGCGAAUGUGCCAAAGUGAUGGGAAAUCUUACUUCUUGCUGCUCCAUUCUCCAGCCCACAAAA